rnacentral:lncRNA from 1 species
UUGUGACAGACAGAAUCCCCUGGCGUCACCCCAUGAUCAUGUUACAUUAUGUGGCCAAAAAGAGAUGAUUUAAGUGAGUUUAACCUAAAAGAUGAAUUCUUAUAGCAAAAAUAUAUUUCUAGCUAGUAUCCAAGAAAUUUAAAUGCAUGAGAAAAACUCUGUACCGUGAACACUGAGAGGAUGGAAGAGAUCAUGUGGAGAAUGUGAGAAAAUGAGUUUCCCUCCCGGGGUUAGCACAGGGAGAGCUUGAGCGAAGAACCCAGCCAUGCUUCAGACCUAAUUGUGAAGCUGUAAGAGAAUAAAUCUAUAUUUUCUAGUGCUACUGCAUACGUUCUGAGGCUCUGGAAAGCUAACAGAAUAGUAUCACUCCAACAUCUUUGUUCUUCUUCAAGGUAUUGUAUGCACCGUAGGUCCUGUUAGUCUGCUGAAUAUUGUAGAGAGAGUGGAUAACAGAGCCACUAAGACUGAAGCACUCCAGAGACCAGCGACCAACGAAGAACAACAGGCAACAAAGAACAGUGGCAAUGACCUAGAACAAAAGCCAACAAAGAAGAGCAGCAGUAACCUAGUGCCCUCUAGAGUCGCCCUACUGUGUCCAGCACAAGCCAGAAUUGGAUGGUGAUGCCUGGAAGUGGCAGUGACCAGUAGCUGGCUGUGCCUUUUGUUGGUAUCCAGCAUUAUUUGAUAUCAUCUGAUGACCUCAGGACUGCCAGCAGAGCUGCACUUGAUCUAUUCAUGAUUUCCAACUGAAUUGAGCAAAAGAACCCUAGACUGAUUGGCAACAGAGGUAGUGGGGAUUCACUCAGGGCCUUCACACUGAGCUAAAUUCUCAGCUCUUUUUUAUUUUUUAUUUUGAGGCAAGAUCUCACUAAUUUGCUAAACUGUCAUUAGACUUGAAUUUAUAAUCUUCCUACCUUGGCCUCCCAGAGUGCUGAGAUUACAGGCACGUGGCACCACAUCCAACUUAACUGUUAAAUUUCAGCAUUUUACCUGUCAGGUUGUAAGGAUUACACUUUCAUCAUUAAUAUCACUUAGAGGUAGCACGCUUCACUGAAAUUUUUCCCGUAAUUUUGGAUUCCUUGGUCCACAUAAAAAUCCAGAACACUCUAAAUAUAAUCACUGCUAUUGUUAGCAUGCUUCAAUGUGGG